CCUCCGCCUCCCAAAGUGCUGGGAUUACAGGCGUGAGUCACUGCACCAGGUCUCCAUUAUUUCUUAAAGGUAGAGGACCAAGCUGUGGGGAUGGGAGAAAACAGAAAAUUAGGACUAGAUCAAUGCAUCUAAGAUCGUUAAGAAUGAGGUGGGAUCAUUUAGGCACUCACAAGCCCCGUAAGGGCUAGGACGUCCCCUUCUCUGAUCUAAACCUAGGUAAAGAUUACCUAAGAUAAUGUCAAGGGGCUUUGGAUGGGAGAGUCUCCUUACUACUACUGUUACAAUUAUUCUUAAAACUAUAACCUCAAAGUAGCUUCGAACAUAUUUUGCAUUUUGCAGGGGAUCAAUAUAUUAAAUCUACAGGCUAAACAAUGUAAAAGUAGCCACUGAUUAAGGGAAUCUCAUUCAGGUCAUUCUGAUACAAAGAAAAGGGGACAUCCUGGCACUUAUGGGGCUUGUGAGUAAAGCCCAAAGAAGUUCACAUGAAACCUCUUGAGAAGCCCCCAAUAUAGGUAUGCUUUCCUAUUUUCAGGAUGAGAACAUUAAAGGAUAAUUCACAUAGGCUAGGUGGAAAAAAUGCUGAAGAAUAAGAAAAGGGCAGAAGUUCUUGGUGUACUAAGUAGAAAAAUAUAGUUCCGAAAAUAUUUACUGAAAGAACAAAGACGACCUUUUAGAAAACUGUUUGGUGACCACAACAGUUGCAGGAAGACUGCCUUGAUCAAAGAGGAAGCAAAAUCAUAAGAAGGAAAUGGACGAGGUGAAGGGUUUAACAGGAUGAGAUUCAGAUUUAACAAGCAGAGACAAACAAGAAGAAAGAGAAAUUAACAGAAGAAAUCAAGGAAGCUGAUAUACAGUAUUAAAAAAAACACAAUGAUAUGGAAGACAAACUUGAGAAGCUCUCAGAGUUCAGGAGAAAAAAACUAAUAGUUAAAAGCCAGAAGAAUUAGACAGAUAUGGAGAAAACUUUAGAAUGAUAGAGAUUUCUGAGGAAAGAAACAGGACAAAUGGAACAAAAUAAAAAAUGUAUGUUUAAGGAAUCUGUAUGAUCUGAAACACAUCUGAAUUUAAAGAUUGAAAUGGUUUGUUAUAUUACAGGUAAAACUCAAACACAAACACACACACACACUCUCACUCAUAUUUUAGCAAUAAAAAAAAUUCCAAGAAUUAAAAUAAGUCACACAGGCCCAGUGUGGUGGCUUAUGCCUGUAAUCCCAGCACUUUGGGAGGCUGAGGCAGGAGGGUAGCUUGAGCCCAGGAGGUGGAGACCAGCCUGGGUAACAUGGUGAGACCCCCAUCAUCUCUACAAAAAAUGAAAAAAUUAUCCAGGCAUGGUGGCGCAUGCCUAGUAUUCCCAGCUACUCAGGAGGCAGAGGCAGAGGAACACUUAAGCCCAGGAUUUUGCAAACAUCUAGAAAUAUCUAGGCAGGAAAAUAAUCAGUUUCACCACAGGACAACAAAAUAUCAGGUUGGCUUCAGACUUCUACUCCUUAAUAUGAAAUGCUGAAAGGGAUGGAAUAAUGUCCCCCAAGUUUUACAGAAAAGGUGUUUAGAUCCAUGGAUUUUUUUUUUUUUUUUUUUUUUUGAGAAGGAGUCUUGUUCUGUCUCCCAGGCUGGAGUGCAGUGGGGAGAUCUCGGCUCACUGCAAGCUCCUUCUCCUGGGUUCAUGCCAUUCUCCUGCCUCAGCCUCCCAAGCAGCUGGGACUACAGGCGCCUGCCACCACACCUGGCUAAUUUUUUGUAGUUUUAGUAGAGACGGGGUUUCACCGUGUUAGCCAGGAUGGUCUCGAUCUCCUGACCUUGUGAUCCACCUGCCUCGGCCUCCCAAAGUGCUGGGAUUAGAGGCAUGAGCCACCAUGUCCGGCCAGAUCCAUGGAUUUUAAACUGGCCUGAAUUUGUAUUUGUGGUUGAAGAUAGAAGCAAAAUAAAUAAAAACUUAGCCAAGUUUAAAAUCUGUGGAUCUAAACAUCUUAGGCCUCCCCAGCCACGCAGAACUGUGAGUCAAUUAAACCUCUUUUCUUUAUAAAUUACCCAGUCUCAGGUAUGUCUUUAUAGCACCAUGAGAACAAACUAAUACACCCACUUUGCUCUGUCAUACCCCUGGGCAGCCCAUUUGGCUCUGUACUGCAUAUCCUUGCUACCCAGGAACCCAGGACAGCUCAGGAGAGCCAAAUCUCAGGGUGUUUCCCUGUCUGAUACUCUGCAACCAGAUUCAUGUGACUGCACCCCAAGAUGGUGCUGGGGAAACAUGAGAGGCAAGCCUCAGAAGUAGAGUCAUAGAUGAGAAAUGUAGGCUGAGGGUCUCCUUUGCACUCUGUAAUACCUUCAUUUAUCCAUAUAUCUGCCUCCUGUAGCACCUUCAUUUAUCCGUAUGGCUGCCCUUCUCAGGCUGGAGAGAGGAAAAUUGGCACAUCUAUAUUAGAGGGCGAGAUUUUCCCUUUCCUCUUUCUAGCGAUAAGUCUCUUAAAUAAAAAUCUGCAAUCUAAAUGACAAAAAUAGUUGGCUUGGGUUGUGUUAGGGUAGGGGAGAUUAUGAGAUUUAGACAAACAUUUCUUCGGAACAUACUUCGGAUUGCAAGAUAUUGUCUGAUGCAGAAUCCCAUUAUUGAAUUUCAGAAGCUGAAUUUUACUUCAGUUUUCCUAUGCUUUCUUUUGAUAAUAAACUCCCUUCAGACUGAUAGAGUUUAUUACAGGCUGAUUAGGGCUGACUAGGAUGAGGGAAGUUUACAGAGAAAAGCAACAUGUUACUGUGUUACCUUUAGAUUAGAGGACCCUAA
rnacentral:lncRNA from 1 species